AACGCACAUUGCGCCCGCCAGUAUUCUGGCGGGCAUGCCUGUUCGAGCGUCAUUUCAACCCUCAAGCCCAGCUUGGUGUUGGGGCAUUGCGGCUUGCCGCAAGUCCUGAAAAACAGUGGCGGGCUCGCUAUAACUCCGAGCGUAGUAACUUAUCUCGUUCUGGAAGAGUGGCGGGUGCCGGCCGUUAAACCCCCUAUUUUACAAGGUUGACCUCGGAUCAGGUAGGAAUACCCGCUGAACUUAA
rnacentral:misc_RNA from 1 species